AUCCAAGUAACAGCACCAGGGCCUCCCGCGGGACUCUGAGAAGUUGACCACUGGCUCAUCACUCUGGGCUGGAGCCUGGGGUUCCGGCUCCACCUCCUUCCUUCACUCCACGCCCUUCCAGGCCUGCUUCAUCGCCCUACUGACUGCAUCAAGGCUGCCCUUCUUGGCCAUCAUCCCUCCUUCUCUGCCCCAGCUCACAGCGUUAGCAUGUGUCACCAGAAAGUGGCCACAGCCUCCUAUCUGGUCUCCCUGCCUCUCUGUCUUGCCCCUCAGUCCAUACUUCCUCCAGCUAUUAGACUGAUCUCCAAAUACAAUUCUAAACACACACACACACACACACACACACACUAACCCAACUAACCCCCUCCAAAGGCUCUCCAGACCUCUCAUGCCCGGUCAGGCCUCUCCAGCUCUCUCUCUCGGCACCCACUGCUCCCUGGCCUGCUUGCCAUGCAAAGAGCAUGCUCCCAGCACCCUCGGGCCAGCCAGUAGGGUGGGAGGGGGGCACCAAGGCUUCUGCUGCCCCUUUGGCCCCCCAAAGUCCCCUACCUUGUUCCACCACCUGCCAGCCCUCUCACCACUCAUCCUACAAGGCUCGGCUCAGACCCUACCUCCUCCUGGCUGGGCCAAGCACUUCCCCAGUGUGAAUCCUUUGUGAUAUCAUAGCAGCCAAGACAAAAUGCACAAUUGAGCUGUGAAUCCGGCUUCACCUCUUUCACCUGCUUUUUCCUGAGUUCAAGGGCAGGAAAUAUGUCUUAUUGAAUUUUGUACUCUACCAUCAGUUUCUGGAAAAUCAUAUUUAUUAGGAGCACACCAUGCUCCACACAGAGCAUAGAAACCUCACCACACAUUUCUUGUUGCUCAUAUCAACAACCACCCAACCAGGGACGCUGUGUGGUUAGUAUCAGCCCCAUUUUAUAGACAAGGCAGCCCAAAGUCAAACUUGAACCUGCACUCUACCUGUUACUUACAAAGCACUGUUGAAAUCACUACCUGUGAAAGCUUUUCAACAGGGCUGGCCUGCCCCCAAAGUCUCCCCUCUCAAGCUCAGAAAAUUGGAGAUGGAGUUUGAAAUCACCUUGUCAACUUCCAUAAAAACUUUGUGUUGUGACUAUGACGGCAUAGAGAUUUUAUUUGGGAGAAGAAUGCUCAAAUUUACAAUAUUAAAUCAUCCUAUCCCAGAAUGUAUCAUAAUGUUAUAUACCAUUCCAUUUGUUCAAGUCUAUUUUUAUGUUCCCAUUAUAUUUUAUAAUUGUUUAAUGGUGGUAUUAGGACAAUAAUUUUGGAAUUCUUAUUUAUAAGAAGUGGAAACUUGGACAUAGACACACACACAGAGGGAAGAUCACGUGAAGAUUCAGGGAGAAGACGGCCAUCUACAAGCUGAGGGUCUGGACCUCAGAAGACGCCAACCUUGCUGACCCUCCCUUCACAUGAUUCCACAGUGCCAGCACAGAGGGGGGGGGCCUCAAAACCUACUUCCCAAUGCUAAUCAAGCCAACAAUAAAUAAUAGAUAAAUUAGAUUUUAGACUUCCAUUUGGAAAAUAUGUUGCUGUUUUAGCUUGGUUUUCAAGGCAGGCUAAAUUCAUACUCAAGUUUAAUUCAACAUGGUGGGUGUCCCCUUCCAUUUAUGGAAAAAAAAAAAAAAAAAGAACCCAACAGGAAUUAAAAGUCUAUAUACAA